AUGAACUCGCCAAAACUCACAAAGAGAAGAACCAAACAAGAACCAAGAAAGAUGAUGCAAGGAUGCAAUGGUUUGAGCUCUUUACGAAUGAUACGAUCAAGCUACUCAUCGAGAGCCCCCCUUGAUAGCACGACAAUCGAUCCUAUAACCCGGUCUCCCAACUACCAUCACGAGACCGGUAAAAUAGAAAACCUAUCAAGGGCAAACCUUUGCCUUGCACAUGGUCCACUUGAGCUAGAUGAUGACGAUCUUGACUCCCUCAAGUUGGACCACCUUUCUUGGUUGCAUUGGCUCGAUGAAGACUAG
rnacentral:rRNA from 1 species